CGAAUGCAGCCCAUCUGUGACUUGCAAAUUACCAAUUAACUGUAACAGCCUGACAUCUCUAAGACACAGUGCUAAAUCUCCACAGUUGUGCAAGCGCGCUCCAAAUUGUGGCCUGCAGACAUGAGCCUCUGGCAUCCAGACCCGAAAGCCAACUGGAGCUCAGCGUGACUCUCUGCUUUCCUUCUUGUAUGACUUUCCUGCUAAACUUUCUGCCUGGGUGUGCAUAGGGUGUGCCCACAGAUACACAGGCUGGGUAGCACCUCUGUCUCCUGGAUGAGAAUGAGAUGCAGAUGGAAGAACCACCUGAGCAGUAACCUGGCUCUGGAGAGAUUUCAUGCAAUUCCUCCGUCACACACCUUCUCUGUGACCUUGGUUAAGUUUCCUCAGUAGACCAUCUGCAAAAUGACUGAGGAAAUUGUUGCAGUUUAUAGGCUAAAGGCAGAAGAAAUAGCACAUCAAUGAUCAUGGGAAGGGGGGUAUUUUUCAUGGAGUCCCUCAGGAUGCCAACUGGUGACGGACAAGCACGCUCGCCCCAAACGUGCUGCCCCAGGCCACCGCCACAGCCCAGAGUCCUUCAGCAGAUUCAGUUCUGCUGCUCGCUGUUUUCCUUGCCUGCACCGACUGACUGUGAAUCUUAAUAGCUUGACUGAGAUAGGGGAGGAUUCUCAGCCUCUCUUCCCCAAAUUAAAGACAGUAUGCCUGUUAAUAUGGGAGCUCAAUACAAAAGAGUUCUUUUUCCAAGCUAAAGCAAACCAAAAGAUUUCAAGGACAUUUCAUGAAGAUUUCUAGGAGAAAAUCAUUCCUGUACUUACCUCUCAACAUUUAAACCUUCAUCCAGGCCCUCUCUCUCAUUUUGUGAUCUGAGAGAAAUGAAAGGCACGGGAGAAGUGGUUUCCUUAUUUCUCAUCUCACUUGCCUUUUCUUCAACCCACGACAAAACAGCAAGAAACACAGUAUAAACAGUAUUUUUCAUUUGUUUUGUGUAUUUCCUUCAAAGAUACUAUGCAGAAUGCAACUGAAAGGAAGUAGCUGACACAGGUGUAUUUUAAUAACUAAAAAGUUUGGUAAAGGUUUAUCUUUAUAUCAGUUGUAAAAAUCAGGUCAGUUCUGUGUCCU
rnacentral:lncRNA from 1 species